AGAGUUUGAUCCUGCCUCAGGAUGAACGCUGGCGGCGUGCCUAACACAUGCAAGUCGAACGAAGACUGCGCGGCGGAACUCUCCGGAGGGAAGAUGCGCAGGACUGAGUGGCGGACGGGUGAGUAACGCGUGGGUAACCUGCCCUGUACAGGGGGACAACAGCUGGAAACGGCUGCUAAUACCGCAUAAGCCUACAGUGCCGCAUGGUACAGCAGGAAAAACUCCGGUGGUACAGGAUGGGCCCGCGUCUGAUUAGUUAGUUGGCAGGGUAACGGCCUACCAAGACAACGAUCAGUAGCCGGCUUGAGAGAGUGGACGGCCACAUUGGGACUGAGACACGGCCCAAACUCCUACGGGAGGCAGCAGUGGGGAAUAUUGCACAAUGGGGGGAACCCUGAUGCAGCAACGCCGCGUGAGUGAAGAAGUAUUUCGGUAUGUAAAGCUCUAUCAGCAGGGAAGAAAAUGACGGUACCUGACUAAGAAGCUCCGGCUAAAUACGUGCCAGCAGCCGCGGUAAUACGUAUGGAGCAAGCGUUAUCCGGAUUUACUGGGUGUAAAGGGAGCGCAGGCGGUACGGCAAGUCCGAUGUGAAAGCCCGGGGCUCAACCCCGGGACUGCAUUGGAAACUGCCGCACUAGAGUGCCGGAGAGGUAAGUGGAAUUCCUAGUGUAGCGGUGAAAUGCGUAGAUAUUAGGAGGAACACCAGUGGCGAAGGCGGCUUACUGGACGGUAACUGACGCUGAGGCUCGAAAGCGUGGGGAGCCCUCAAGGUUAGAUACCCUGUAGUCCACGCCGUAAAGGACCCAGGUGUGAGGUCGGGGCACAACGUGCUUUGGUGCCGCAGCAAAUGCAUUAUAGUAUUCCUCCUGGGGAGUAGGUUUGCAAGAAUAAAACUCAAAGGAAUUGACGGGGCUCCGCACAAGCGGGUGGAGCAUGUGGUUUUAUUUCGAAGCAACGCGAAGAACCUUACCAGUCCUUGACGUCCUGAUGGCAGCCCCGUAACGGGGGAAUUCCUUCGGGACAGCAGAGACAGGUGGUGCAUGGUUGUCGUCAGCUCGUGUCGUGAGAUGUUGGGUUAAGUCACGCAACGAGCGCAACCCCUAUUGCCAGUAACCAGCAUUUCGGAUGGGGACUCUGGUGAGACUGCCGGGGAUAACCCGGAGGAAGGUGGGGACGACGUCAAAUCAUCAUGCCCCUUAUGGGCUGGGCUACACACGUGCUACAAUGGUGCUGACAGAGUGAGGCGAACCUGCGAAGGGGAGCAAAGCACAAAAAAGGCACCUCAGUUCGGAUUGUAGUCUGCAACUCGACUACAUGAAGCUGGAAUCGCUAGUAAUCGCAGAUCAGAAUGCUGCGGUGAAUACGUUCCCGGGUCUUGUACACACCGCCCGUCACACCAUGGGAGUUGGGAAUGCCCGAAGUCAGUGACCCAAACGCAAGGAGGGAGCUGCCGAAGGCAGG
rnacentral:rRNA from 1 species